rnacentral:rRNA from 1 species
GAUGAACGCUAGCGGGAGGCCUAACACAUGCAAGCCGAGCGGUAUUGUUUCUUCGGAAAUGAGAGAGCGGCGUACGGGUGCGGAACACGUGUGCAACCUGCCUUUAUCUGGGGGAUAGCCUUUCGAAAGGAAGAUUAAUACUCCAUAACAUAUUGAUUGGCAUCAAUUAAUAUUGAAAGCUCCGGCGGAUAGAGAUGGGCACGCGCAAGAUUAGCUAGUUGGUGAGGUAACGGCUCACCAAGGCGAUGAUCUUUAGGGGGCCUGAGAGGGUGAUCCCCCACACUGGUACUGAGACACGGACCAGACUCCUACGGGAGGCAGCAGUGAGGAAUAUUGGUCAAUGGGUGCAAGCCUGAACCAGCCAUCCCGCGUGAAGGACGACUGCCCUAUGGGUUGUAAACUUCUUUUGUAUAGGGAUAAACCUACCCUCGUGAGGGUAGCUGAAGGUACUAUACGAAUAAGCACCGGCUAACUCCGUGCCAGCAGCCGCGGUAAUACGGAGGGUGCAAGCGUUAUCCGGAUUUAUUGGGUUUAAAGGGUCCGUAGGCGGACUUAUAAGUCAGUGGUGAAAGCCUGUCGCUUAACGAUAGAACUGCCAUUGAUACUGUAAGUCUUGAGUAUAUUUGAGGUAGCUGGAAUAAGUAGUGUAGCGGUGAAAUGCAUAGAUAUUACUUAGAACACCAAUUGCGAAGGCAGGUUACCAAGAUAUAACUGACGCUGAGGGACGAAAGCGUGGGGAGCGAACAGGAUUAGAUACCCUGGUAGUCCACGCCGUAAACGAUGCUAACUCGUUUUUGGGCUUUAGGGUUCAGGGACCAAGCGAAAGUGAUAAGUUAGCCACCUGGGGAGUACGCUCGCAAGAGUGAAACUCAAAGGAAUUGGCGGGGGCCCGCACAAGCGGUGGAUUAUGUGGUUUAAUUCGAUGAUACGCGAGGAACCUUACCAAGACUUAAAUGGGAAUUGACAGCUUUAGAAAUAGAGCUUUCUUCGGACAAUUUUCAAGGUGCUGCAUGGUUGUCGUCAGCUCGUGCCGUGAGGUGUUGGGUUAAGUCCUGCAACGAGCGCAACCCCUGUCACUAGUUGCCAUCAUUCAGUUGGGGACUCUAGUGAGACUGCCUACGCAAGUAGAGAGGAAGGUGGGGAUGACGUCAAAUCAUCACGGCCCUUACGUCUUGGGCCACACACGUAAUACAAUGGCCGGUACAGAGGGCAGCUACACAGCGAUGUGAUGCAAAUCUCGAAAGCCGGUCUCAGUUCGGAUUGGAGUCUGCAACUCGACUCUAUGAAGCUGGAAUCGCUAGUAAUCGCGCAUCAGCCAUGGCGCGGUGAAUACGUUCCCGGGCCU